rnacentral:lncRNA from 9 species
UGAAUUUUUUUAAAUUGAGUUGGUAACAUUUUAACCAUCUCUUUUCAGACAUGUCUAACUCAUGAUAAUGUUUAUUUGUGGUAGAUUCAAAAUUUGUGCAAUGAAUUUUGCUCCAAUAUUUCAAUUGUCAUUUCUGAAUCUGAUAAGUACCUAAUAUAGGGAUUUUUACACAUAAGGAAUCUUCUCUAGAAUUUUACGUUCUCGCUAAAUUCUAUCUUUGAAAGAUUUAAGAAAAUGUAAUUUCCCAGGACAAGAGAUUUUACAGUAUUUUUCACAUGGAAUUUCAUAAAAUUGUAAGAUUGCUUGACUUGUUCCUGGGGUUUUCACUUAAAGAUAUUUGGAUGCACUCAGUAUAGUUUCCCUAAAAGUCAUUGGGCUGAAAAUAAACUAUCAACAGGAUUCUCUUUGGUUUCAUGGAAAUAUCCAAGUACUAUAUAUAAGUCAAAGAUAUCUAUGUUGAAGCUAAAGGUGUUCUUUUGACCUGGCAAGGCCUUUCAGUUCACUCUCAGCACAUAUUCAAGAAAUGCAUGCAUUGAUUUCUUAUUCAGCAUAGGGAAAUUGCAAACAUCUGUUAAGACAGUUCUGCGAAGCCAAACUCCUUAAAGGGAAAAUUUGAGAAGUCAAACCUCCUUAGUUUAAGUUUAAAUGUUAAAGUCCCAAGUCCCAUUGGGAUAUUUCACAGGAAAGUCAGUCAGCAACAUGCUACUUUGUCUCUUCUUACAGAGUAUGACCACCAUAAAGCAAGGAGACAUUUGGAUGGUCUCCUCUACAGCAGCAGCACAGAUGGUCUACACACAGGCUUCACUGCAGAGGGCUUCUCGCCCUCCCUACUGCUCAAACCAGGUCCUGUCUCUACACUUAGCUUGUUAGAUGGGCACCAUGGGAUAUCAUCUGAUGGAGCCCCAGGACUGGUGAUGCUCUCUGUAAGUAAUGCUCUUCUCAUGGAGCCAGUGUUUCCUAGAAGCAGGACUGGGAAGGCACACUUGAAAAAAAAGAGGACAACUUUCUCCACUAAACACACACACAAACACAUACCUAUAUAAAUUAUUUGGCGACUACUAAAAGUUAAGGAGGCCCACAAUAGCUUUGGGUUUGUUGUUGUUGUCAUUUUGUUUUUCUGAUGGACCAGUGUUUAAGCUUAUUCUGUUCCCCGUAAGACAUCUCUCGAAUAGUAGUUUUCCAUUUAGUAGGCAAUACUUGAAUUUAAUGAUCUCAAGAACAUGAGAUCAGAGGACUGUUACCUAAUAUCUAAUAAGGUAUGGGGAGUAUUUUAUAAGAGUAUAAGUUUAGGUAAAGUUUUCAUUUCUACCUAUGUUCAAGUGGAAAAUAUUUUAAAAGAUCCUUUCCCCAGGUACUCGCUGAUUCAAUUAUCAAGUUUACUAUCAUUUAUUGGUUUGUUUACUUUAUCAAAAAUUUAUGGUAUUCAUCUCUGUAAAUAAUAUAGAGAAUGAUAUUACCAUAAUAUAUCUCAAAGUCUAAAAAGGACAUGUACCCACAUGACCUUUUUAACAGAUGUCAGUUUUAUAUAAAUAUCAUUGUAGAGGCAGAAGUCAAGCUAAGUCAGACAAAACAAAAGUAAGUCAACAAUUAAAAACCUAUCUGAAGGGCACUUUUCUCUCUCCCUCUCUCUUUUUUUUUUUUUUUUUUUUUUUUUUUUUUUGCUUUUUGCUUUUUAGGGCUGCACUUGUGGCAUAUGAAAAUUCCCAGGCUGGGGGUCGAAUCAGAGCUGCAGCUGCUGGC